rnacentral:pre_miRNA from 1 species
UCAGGGAUUAAGUGUCUGUAUGUGUGGGCUGAGUAGGCACAAUCACAGCUUUUACUCAGAUCUGGUUGUGAAUGGACCUUCUCCACCCAUACCAUACAGACCCUUAAUCCUGA